UACGUAGGGUGCAAGCGUUAAUCGGAAUUACUGGGCGUAAAGCGUGCGCAGGCGGUUUUUGUAAGUCUGUCGUGAAAUCCCCGGGCUCAACCUGGGAAUUGCGAUGGAGACUGCAAGGCUAGAAUCUGGCAGAGGGGGGGUAGAAUUCCACGUGUAGCAGUGAAAUACGUAGAGAUGUGGAAGGAACACCGAUGGCGAAGGCAGCCCCCUGGGUCAAGAUUGACGCUCAUGCACGAAAGCGUGGGGAGCAAACAGG
rnacentral:rRNA from 1 species